CCUCCCUUGACCCGCACUGUGGAGCACCCCCUUCCCUGGUCGUGUCCUGGGUCUCCCUUCCUCCGGCUCCGCGAUACACCCCACGCCAGAAAAGAAGAACAUCAACGUUGCUAUGUGGAUUUCCCUGAAUCAACUUAUAAAGGCACAGGUAACUGUGCCCAGAUAAUCCAGGAUCACUGUGCCAGCAAGUACAAACUAAAAAUCAGAAACAAUAUUUUCUGGGGCAAAAAGGAAAAACCUUCCCAUCCCCGACUACCCUUUGGCUAAGGCAUUCACCCCAGGGAACUUGCAAUGGAGAACUUCUGUCUACUUGAGGCCUGUUUAAUUCUUUCUUAAAGCUACGGUGCCUUUUUCCAAGUUUGCCUACAAUGACCGUCUUAUGUUAGGACAGGAGUCACCUCGUGGAACUGUACCCAUCGAAGGACGUUAAACCAAACAUCUAGGCUCCAGGUGGUGAGGAACUUCCAAAGUGUCCAAAUGGCAGGCCUACUGCCAGUCAUAAAGAUAGGUGGUGAGCCUGUGAUCUCAGCACUGAGAAACUACAGGCCAUCCUUGACUACAUAGGGAAUUCCAGACCUUGUCUCAAAACAAGAGACACACAUGGUUCCCUUUGGAUGUACGCAACAGAAAAGAAAGCGGCUUCCUCUAAUCAGAGGUGAAGUUUAAGUGAACUACCACAGACAGAUGGCGGGAUCAAGUCCCCUUGCCUGAGGACGACUCACCCAGAUAUAUAACAGUUCGUGCAUUCCCAUGUGGUGUGCUGUUACAACAGCUUUCUCCAGACCUAAGACCCUCGCCCGUGCUGCUGCUCACACUGAGGGUGUGUUUUCCUCAGCCAGCAUCUCUGGAUGCCAGGAGGUGUGUCUUCUAGGCAAUUCCAAGUCCAGGCGCAGUGACAACGAAGAUGAACCAUUGCAGCAGCGACGGCACCGGAGCAGGUCGUUCUACAUUGCCUGAAAAACUGUUGUUUUGUGAGUAUAUAAGCUGCAGAAAGAAAGUAUACAGUAGAAAGAACACAGAAAGAACAUGUGAAGAACAAAGACUAAAGAAGGAAGCCGGCAAGAGUGUGAGUGUCUUUUUCCUGCGGACUCCGUGGAUUCCUUUCAAAGCCCUGUGCUGCUGGAGGCUCCCCCCCCAACACACACAGCAGUGCAGAACUGUAACAGUCUGGGGAGGACAGAGGACUGUACUGCUACAGAAUCUCAUGUUUGAAGGGACGGAAAGGUGGAAGUUAUCGUUCAGAAAGAUUUCCCACAGUUCCGGCAUCUUACAAAUGUGACUAGAGAGGCGUUGAUGGCGGUGAUGAUGUGGCCUGGGCUGGACAUGUUGACCAAGACUCCUAAAUAUGCACGCCCCUUGCAGUCUAUUUAAAACUGAAUUGCAUGGACUGAAGAGAUGCUCAGUGGUUAAACAUUGGAUAUUCUUCCAGAGGACUGAGGUCUGGUUCCCAGCACCCACACAGUGGCUCACAGUCUUGUACAACUCUAGUUCUAGAUGAUCUGACGCCCUCUUCUGGACUCUAUGAACUAUAAAUAUGCACAUGUGGUAUAGAGACAUACACAUGGGCAAACAUUCAUACACAAAAAUAACAAAAUACCUUUUUAGAAUUUAAUCUAAACUUUAUGUCAAUUUCUGGAACACAGACUCUAGGUUCACUCUUUAUCCUCUUCCCAAUGUGGCCACAUCGAGUAAAUCUUUCUCUGCUUUCACUAUUACUGUCUGUGUAACUGGGGACUUACAGCAGAGCCUAGCUUAAUGGGCCUGAGAGGGACCACACUUUGGCCCUAAGGUCUCAGAUAACAAACCUAGGGAAUGAAAGGGACCGAUAAUGCUACACAGUCCCAGGCUUUUCCCAUUUGCUCAAGGUGCCCAGAAGCUGAGCCAGUGUUUGGACGCAUCGCUCCUUCCUUCUUGAGUGUCAGCAGACCAUUCUGUCCUACGUGAAGGCUCCUAACACCCCAACAGCCCUAUGAGACGUUAAGUCAUUUCACUUAGGACGGGGCCUCAGGAAUGACCAGGAAAAGUAGCAUGUGGCGCCAACAAGGGCAGCAUCUCUGCAGGAGUCUUCCCUGCUCAGGGUGCAUGCUGGAAAGAGUUUACUGACAGGGAGUCUCAGCUAGGGAUUUCCAGCACCCUCUCUGGGCAACUGGGACUGUAAAAUAACGUUCUGGAGCCCAACAGUCCUUCAGCUCUCAGGGGAAUGGUCCAUCUGGCCAGCGGAGACCUGGAACGGCUUCUCAACCUCAAGCAGGAAGCAGUAACAUAAGAUGUCUGCACUUGCUCAAACCUUUGGCCUUAUAGCUGGAGUCAGGGUCAUGGGUCAAACAGUGGUUUCAGGGGAGAUACUAGGUAAGUGGAAGC